UCAGCAAAAAUGUCCGACGUGGCCCUCAUUUACUGAAGAAAGAGAGAGCAGCCGUCGUCUCGUUCGACUACGGCAGCGGCGCGUGCUCCGACACCAAUCGACGACUCCGCGCGCCCGAUGUACGACCCGCUCCCGUUCGUCGUCGGCGUCGCGGAUCCGAUACGUGCGCGAGCGAUUUUUGCUUCCCGCGCGGCAAAUCUCGCGCUAUUGCAUACCCCCAAAUUCUCCUCCAAGCGGCGGCGGCGCAAGAGCUGCUCAAGCGGAGGCGCUGCGGGAGCGGAGGCCCAUGGCGGCAUCGCAGAAGCGGCAGGCCAUGGCGGGAGCUGCUGCGGCACCAGAGCAGAAGCAGAAUCGCCAUGGUGUUCCAAUACCGCGCUGGCGCCGAGCGCCGCAGCCAGUCCCCGCCUCCGCCCACGCCCUCACCACCGGUGGCGCAUGAGGGAUGCAGCCUUGGUGCCGUGGCAGGCUUCUCCGCUCCCAUCGCUGGAUGUGGCGGCGGCCGCCUCCGCCGACGAGCUGCAGCGCCAGGUGGAGAAGCCAGGGAUCAGGGAGCGGAGCGGAUCCUGUGGGAGCAGGCCGAGUGCUUGGAGCUAGAGCUGGAGGUGCGGCGCAAUCCAGAAAGGGGUCCUCGGCAUCGGCCAUGUGCCAGAGCAGGACGGAGCGCUGCCGCACAUCUCCGCCUUCUCCGGUGGAGGUCCGGCUGAGCUCCGACGGCGGCUGCGAUGCAGAUCCUGCGGCAGCAAUGGGGGCAAGUCCGGCUGCGCCUCCACUGAGGAUUUUGGGCCCUGCAGUGGAGCAGAAUGGAGCGGUUGGCUUCUUCAAUGAUGGGAGUCCCAUGUCUCAACCAUGGAUGCUACCUCAAUGUUCAGAUCCUACAACAUGAGGACAAAAUGCAACACCUCCUGGAGGCUUCACAAACUUUAUCCAGCCAAACUUGUCACAAAACUGCUAGCUUCAGAUGGUGGCGCAACUGCUAGUACAAAUGGUGGCGUGGCUGCUAGUUCAAAUGGUAGCGCGGCUGCUAGUUCAGAUGGCGAGGAUGGCCAGGGAGUCGAAAUUGAUCCAUCAGAGGUAAUGGAGCAGUAUUGAUACUAUGAACUUCUACUAUGAAAAUUGAUCAGCAAUAUGUCUUUGAGCGAUGUGUUACAGAAUUAUUUUGAGCGAAUUUUGAGCCAUGCUUUGUGGAGGUGCUUAAUAGAAACUCGGCUAUCCAGGCUACCUCUACACACAGGCAACUCGGCUAUCCGGGCUCUCUCAUGUAUGCAACAAAAUGGCUACAAAAAUCAAUUGUGCACUAGAUCACCAUGAGUUUGUGUGUCAGAGGACGAAUUAAUUUCCCAGCAGACAGCUAAACAGUUAGCUCAUUGUACAAUCUGUCUAUUCAACUGUCUGUUUGUGUCAAAA